rnacentral:piRNA from 1 species
UACACUCACUUCAACGCCUGAUGUGGUGUG